rnacentral:miRNA from 1 species
AGGAUGGCUAAGUGCUCUGGUUUGCCUGGGACUGAGGUGUUUCCUGGAGCAUGGGACUCUCAGUGUUAACACCAGGGAUGU